rnacentral:rRNA from 1 species
AAUUGGAGGGCAAGUCUGGUGCCAGCAGCCGCGGUAAUUCCAGCUCCAAUAGCGUAUAUUAAAGUUGUUGCAGUUAAAAAGCUCGUAGUUGAAUUUCGGGAUUGACACAUCGGUCGUGCCUUAAGGGGUAUGAACUGGUGUAGUCAAUUUCUCACCUUCUGGAGAACCGCGAUGCCCUUAAUUGGGUGUCACGGGGAACCAGGACCUUUACUUUGAAAAAAUUAGAGUGUUUAAAGCAGGCAUUUUGCUUGAAUACAUUAGCAUGGAAUAAUAAAAUAGGACGGCAUGAUUCUAUUUUGUUGGUUUCUAGGAUCACCGUAAUGAUUAAUAGGGAUAGUUGGGGGCAUUAGUAUUCAAUUGUCAGAGGUGAAAUUCUUGGAUUUAUUGAAGACUAGCUACUGCGAAAGCAUUUGCCAAGGAUGUUUUCAUUAAUCAAGAACGAAAGUUAGGGGAUCGAAGACGAUCAGAUACCGUCGUAGUCUUAACCAUAAACUAUGCCGACUAGGAAUCAGACGAUGUUAAUUUUUUAAUGACUCGUUUGGCACCUUACGGGAAACCAAAGUGU